AAAAGUUGUAUGCUGUUAUAAUUGUCGAUAUUUUUUAUCCAGAUUUAACCACUAUGAGAAGAGGAUAGACACGAUUGAGGAAUAUGAUAAGAUAAAGAAGUGCAGAAAACCACAACCCGGCCAUAGCUCCGCAUGCAUCAUCGCGGUACAAGCAUUCUUGUUCUUGGUUUAUUUGAUGAAGCAUCUUUCUUUCCCUUAUGAUGUGUGGUGUAAGUCUUCAUGUGAAGAAGCAUGUAAAGGGUGUAUCACGAAUAGUCCUACUAAGUGUCGUAGGAACGCUUGAUUUGAAUAUCAGAUGUUUGAAUCUUGGAUCAAGGGAACAUCAUCAAGCAGACACGGUUAUGUUGCAAACUUGGUUGUUGCUAAAUCAUAUCGACGCAAGCGUAUUGCAAUUGGUUGUGCAUGCAGG